UGCCGUUCGGCGAAAGGCCGUCCACCUCUUUUUCGUUUUCCAGGAGAGAGAGCUCCACUUUGACUUCAACUGCACAACACAGACAUGAGGAGCUGCCCUCAACUAAGAGGGGCCGUACGAACGCAAGCAAAGGACAAAUGAAGUCACAAGUGGAACAAAUGAAAGCAGGAAAAAAAAGGUGAAUGGAAUCAUUUAGAGGGGGAACCUGCCUAAGUGAGUCCUUUCCAUCCAUUCUUCAUUAAUAAUGAGGAUAAUUGUCAUCAGUCAUUUGAACGGUUUUGCGUCAAAAUCCUUAAGUCAUUUAUUGUUCAUACUCAUGGUGCUCAAUUAUAUUUACUUUUAUAUUAGAAUUAAAAAUAUGAAUAUCACAUGAACAGGUCUGCUAAAACAUUCCUCCACUUUUUUUCCUUCUCUUUUAAAGGAGAAAGGCAAAGAGUCAAGAAAU